rnacentral:rRNA from 1 species
CGGUUGAAGGAUUGUUUUGGGUUAACGUCCCGUAACGAGCGCAACCCUUGUCCUUAGUUACCAGCACGUUAUGGUGGGCACUCUAAGGAGACUGCCGGUGACAAACCGGAGGAAGGUGGGGAUGACGUCAAGUCAUCAUGGCCCUUACGGCCUGGGCUACACACGUGCUACAAUGGUCGGUACAGAGGGUUGCCAAGCCGCGAGGUGGAGCUAA